rnacentral:rRNA from 1 species
UCCAGACUCCUACGGGAGGCAGCAGUGAGGAAUAUUGGUCAAUGGGCGGGAGCCUGAACCAGCCAAGUCGCGUGAGGGAAGACGGUCCUAUGGAUUGUAAACCUCUUUUGUCGGGGAGCAAAGAGGCCACGUGUGGUCAAAAGCGAGAGUACCCGAAGAAAAAGCAUCGGCUAACUCCGUGCCAGCAGCCGCGGUAAUACGGGGGAUGCGAGCGUUAUCCGGAUUUAUUGGGUUUAAAGGGUGCGCAGGCGGGCUUGUUAGGCAGGGGGAAAAAGCCGGGGGCCCACCCCCGGCGAGCCGUUGAAACUGGCGGGCUGGAGUUGGAGAGAAGUACGCGGAAUGCGCGGUGUAGCGGUGAAAUGCUUAGAUAUCACGCAGAACUCCGAUUGCGAAGGCAGCAUACCGGCGCGCAACUGACGCUCAUGCACGAAAGCGUGGGUAUCGAACAGGAUUAGAUACCCCGGUAGG